rnacentral:rRNA from 1 species
CCUACGGGAGGCAGCAGUGGGGAAUAUUGCACAAUGGGCGAAAGCCUGAUGCAGCAACGCCGCGUGAGCGAUGAAGGCCUUCGGGUCGUAAAGCUCUGUCCUCAAGGAAGAUAAUGACGGUACUUGAGGAGUAAGCCCCGGCUAACUACGUGCCAGCAGCCGCGGUAAUACGUGGGGGGCUAGCGUUAUCCGGAAUUACUGGGCGUAAGGGGUGCGUAGGUGGUUGCUUAAGUCAGAGGUGAAAGGCUACGGCCAAACCGUAGUAAGCCUUUGAAACUGGGAAACUUGAGUGCAGGAGAGGAGAGUGGAAUUCCUAGUGUAGCGGUGAAAUGCGUAGAUAUUAGGAAGAACACCAGUUGCGAAGGCGGCUCUCUGGACUGUAACUGACACUGAGGCACGAAAGCGUGGGGAGCAAACAGGAUUAGAUACCCGGGUAGUC